rnacentral:rRNA from 1 species
UGGGGAAUAUUGCACAAUGGGCGAAAGCCUGAUGCAGCCAUGCCGCGUGUAUGAAGAAGGCCUUCGGGUUGUAAAGUACUUUCAGCGAGGAGGAAGGCAUAAAGGUUAAUAACCUUUGUGAUUGACGUUACUCGCAGAAGAAGCACCGGCUAACUCCGUGCCAGCAGCCGCGGUAAUACGGGGGGGGCAAGCGUUAAUCGGAAUUACUGGGCGUAAAGCGCACGCAGGCGGUUUGUCAAGUCGGAUGUGAAAUCCCCGGGCUCAACCUGGGAACUGCAUUCGAAACGGGCAAACUAGAGUCUUGUAGAGGGGGGUAGAAUUCCAGGUGUAGCGGUGAAAUGCGUAGAGAUCUGGAGGAAUACCGGUGGCGAAGGCGGCCCCCUGGACAAAGACUGACGCUCAGGUGCGAAAGCGUGGGGAGCAAACA